UGAGUCAAAGUUGGAGGCUGAAGAUCACAUUAAAGAAACACAAAAUGCAGAUGAGACAAUAAAGGCUACCAUCUUAACUGAAGAGGUGCACAAAGAAGUUGAGAAAGCUGAUUUUGAUGAAACUGUCAAACACCUUAACAAGGAAGAGAAUGAUAUACAGGANACAGAAAAUUCACACUGUAUCCACUGAAGAUGAAAGAGAAGAUGAGGUGAAAGAAUUCAGCCUUGUAUCCACCGAAUCUCUUAAAGCAACAGACUCCAAUGAACAGACAGAAACAAUAAGCUCAGAGGUUCAAGUACCACAAGCCGUGGAAAAAGAUAUAGUAGCUACAAAAGGAAAGGAAGAAAGAGAAUUGGAAGAUGCAGAUAGUGAAAAGACUGUAAGCCUCUCACCCAUUAUACCAACAAAAGAAUCGGAAGAAAAAAUUAAGGAGCAGAUCUUAGAGGAUGCAGAUAGUGGUUAUGACAAUAUAAAG
rnacentral:misc_RNA from 1 species